AUGGCCUGGGUUUCCCUCUACCUCCUGUUCCUCGUUUUCUCCACAGGUUUCUGCGCUCUGCCGGUGCUGAUCCAGCCACCAUCUGCAUCUGCCUCGCUGGGAGCCUCUGCCAAGCUCACCUGCACCCUGAGCAGUGAGCACAGCGCCUACAACAUUGAGUGGUAUCAACAGCAGCCAGGGAAGGCCCCUCGGUACCUGAUGGAUGUUAAGAGUGAUGGAAGCCACAACAAUGGUGACGGGAUCCCCGUACGCAUCUCAGGUUCCAGCUCUGAGGCUGACCGCUCCUCGGCCAUCUCCAACACCCAGUCUGAGGAUGAGUAUGAGUGUAACUGUGAUGAUCUACACCACUGGGAAAGAUGCCACAGACACAGUGACACAGACAAUGAGGAAGUGUGA